GGUGAACGCUAGCGGUGCGCCUAACACAUGCAAGUCGAGCGGUAGAAGAAUGUAGCUUGCUAUAUUCUUUGAGAGCGGCGAACGGGUGAGUAACACGUUGGUACAUGCCCCCAAGUCAGGGAUAGCCAUUGGAAACGAUGAUUAAUACCGGAUGUGCUCUUCGGAGUAAAGAUUUAUCGCUUGGGGAGUGGCCUGCGUCCUAUCAGCUUGUUGGUGAGGUAAUAGCUCACCAAGGCUAUGACGGGUAACUGGUCUGAGAGGACGACCAGUCACAAUGAAACUGAGACACGGUUCAUACUCCUACGGGAGGCAGCAGUGAGGAAUCUUCCACAAUGGACGAAAGUCUGAUGGAGCGACACCGCGUGAAGGAUGAAGGCCUAACGGUUGUAAACUUCUUUUCUGAGGGAGCAUAAUGAGAGUACCUCAGGAAUAAGGGACGGCUAAAUACGUGCCAGCAGCCGCGGU
rnacentral:rRNA from 1 species